rnacentral:rRNA from 1 species
UACGUAGGGUGCAAGCGUUAAUCGGAAUUACUGGGCGUAAAGCGUGCGCAGGCGGUUUUGUAAGUCUGUCGUGAAAUCCCCGGGCUCAACCUGGGAACUGCAUUUGUGACUGCAUGGCUAGAGUACGGUAGAGGGGGAUGGAAUUCCGCGUGUAGCAGUGAAAUGCGUAGAUAUGCGGAGGAACACCGAUGGCGAAGGCAAUCCCCUGGACCUGUACUGACGCUCAUGCACGAAAGCGUGGGGAGCAAACAGG